rnacentral:rRNA from 1 species
UUAAGCGACUAAGCGUACACGGUGGAUGCCCUGGCAGUCAGAGGCGAUGAAGGACGUGCUAAUCUGCGAUAAGCGUCGGUAAGGUGAUAUGAACCGUUAUAACCGGCGAUUUCCGAAUGGGGAAACCCAGUGUGAUUCGUCACACUAUCAUUAACUGAAUCCAUAGGUUAAUGAGGCGAACCGGGGGAACUGAAACAUCUAAGUACCCCGAGGAAAAGAAAUCAACCGAGAUUCCCCCAGUAGCGGCGAGCGAACGGGGAGCAGCCCAGAGCCUGAAUCAGUGUGUGUGUUAGUGGAAGCGUCUGGAAAGGCGCGCGAUACAGGGUGACAGCCCCGUACACAAAAAUGCACAUGCUGUGAGCUCGAUGAGUAGGGCGGGACACGUGGUAUCCUGUCUGAAUAUGGGGGGACCAUCCUCCAAGGCUAAAUACUCCUGACUGACCGAUAGUGAACCAGUACCGUGAGGGAAAGGCGAAAAGAACCCCGGCGAGGGGAGUGAAAAAGAACCUGAAACCGUGUACGUACAAGCAGUGGGAGCACGCUUAGGCGUGUGACUGCGUACCUUUUGUAUAAUGGGUCAGCGACUUAUAUUCUGUAGCAAGGUUAACCGAAUAGGGGAGCCGAAGGGAAACCGAGUCUUAACUGGGCGUUAAGUUGCAGGGUAUAGACCCGAAACCCGGUGAUCUAGCCAUGGGCAGGUUGAAGGUUGGGUAACACUAACUGGAGGACCGAACCGACUAAUGUUGAAAAAUUAGCGGAUGACUUGUGGCUGGGGGUGAAAGGCCAAUCAAACCGGGAGAUAGCUGGUUCUCCCCGAAAGCUAUUUAGGUAGCGCCUCGUGAAUUCAUCUCCGGGGGUAGAGCACUGUUUCGGCAAGGGGGUCAUCCCGACUUAUCAACCCGAUGCAAACUGCGAAUACCGGAGAAUGUUAUCACGGGAGACACACGGCGGGUGCUAACGUCCGUCGUGAAGAGGGAAACAACCCAGACCGCCAGCUAAGGUCCCAAAGUCAUGGUUAAGUGGGAAACGAUGUGGGAAGGCCCAGACAGCCAGGAUGUUGGCUUAGAAGCAGCCAUCAUUUAAAGAAAGCGUAAUAGCUCACUGGUCGAGUCGGCCUGCGCGGAAGAUGUAACGGGGCUAAACCAUGCACCGAAGCUGCGGCAGCGACGCUUAUGCGUUGUUGGGUAGGGGAGCGUUCUGUAAGCCUGUGAAGGUGUACUGUGAGGUAUGCUGGAGGUAUCAGAAGUGCGAAUGCUGACAUAAGUAACGAUAAAGCGGGUGAAAAGCCCGCUCGCCGGAAGACCAAGGGUUCCUGUCCAACGUUAAUCGGGGCAGGGUGAGUCGACCCCUAAGGCGAGGCCGAAAGGCGUAGUCGAUGGGAAACAGGUUAAUAUUCCUGUACUUGGUGUUACUGCGAAGGGGGGACGGAGAAGGCUAUGUUGGCCGGGCGACGGUUGUCCCGGUUUAAGCGUGUAGGCUGGUUUUCCAGGCAAAUCCGGAAAAUCAAGGCUGAGGCGUGAUGACGAGGCACUACGGUGCUGAAGCAACAAAUGCCCUGCUUCCAGGAAAAGCCUCUAAGCAUCAGGUAACAUCAAAUCGUACCCCAAACCGACACAGGUGGUCAGGUAGAGAAUACCAAGGCGCUUGAGAGAACUCGGGUGAAGGAACUAGGCAAAAUGGUGCCGUAACUUCGGGAGAAGGCACGCUGAUAUGUAGGUGAAGCGACUUGCUCGUGGAGCUGAAAUCAGUCGAAGAUACCAGCUGGCUGCAACUGUUUAUUAAAAACACAGCACUGUGCAAACACGAAAGUGGACGUAUACGGUGUGACGCCUGCCCGGUGCCGGAAGGUUAAUUGAUGGGGUCAGCGCAAGCGAAGCUCUUGAUCGAAGCCCCGGUAAACGGCGGCCGUAACUAUAACGGUCCUAAGGUAGCGAAAUUCCUUGUCGGGUAAGUUCCGACCUGCACGAAUGGCGUAAUGAUGGCCAGGCUGUCUCCACCCGAGACUCAGUGAAAUUGAACUCGCUGUGAAGAUGCAGUGUACCCGCGGCAAGACGGAAAGACCCCGUGAACCUUUACUAUAGCUUGACACUGAACAUUGAGCCUUGAUGUGUAGGAUAGGUGGGAGGCUUUGAAGUGUGGACGCCAGUCUUCAUGGAGCCGACCUUGAAAUACCACCCUUUAAUGUUUGAUGUUCUAACGUUGACCCGUGAUCCGGGUUGCGGACAGUGUCUGGUGGGUAGUUUGACUGGGGCGGUCUCCUCCUAAAGAGUAACGGAGGAGCACGAAGGUUGGCUAAUCCUGGUCGGACAUCAGGAGGUUAGUGCAAUGGCAUAAGCCAGCUUGACUGCGAGCGUGACGGCGCGAGCAGGUGCGAAAGCAGGUCAUAGUGAUCCGGUGGUUCUGAAUGGAAGGGCCAUCGCUCAACGGAUAAAAGGUACUCCGGGGAUAACAGGCUGAUACCGCCCAAGAGUUCAUAUCGACGGCGGUGUUUGGCACCUCGAUGUCGGCUCAUCACAUCCUGGGGCUGAAGUAGGUCCCAAGGGUAUGGCUGUUCGCCAUUUAAAGUGGUACGCGAGCUGGGUUUAGAACGUCGUGAGACAGUUCGGUCCCUAUCUGCCGUGGGCGCUGGAGAACUGAGGGGGGCUGCUCCUAGUACGAGAGGACCGGAGUGGACGCAUCACUGGUGUUCGGGUUGUCAUGCCAAUGGCACUGCCCGGUAGCUAAAUGCGGAAGAGAUAAGUGCUGAAAGCAUCUAAGCACGAAACUUGCCCCGAGAUGAGUUCUCCCUGACUCCUUGAGAGUCCUGAAGGAACGUUGAAGACGACGACGUUGAUAGGCCGGGUGUGUAAGCGCAGCGAUGCGUUGAGCUAACCGGUACUAAUGAACCGUGAGGCUUAACCU